GCCGGGGGUGGGGUGCGGCGGGACCCUGUGACAUACCUAUUUGGGGGAUCGCGAGAGUCAACGAGGGGGCUCAGAGAAAUUAAGCGCCGCUCGGGGCCAGAGGAAGACAAACUCUAUGUAUUCUUGUGGAUCUUCUGAGUAAAACAAAACAAAUAAAUCAAAACUUUCAACAACGGAUCUCUUGGUUCUGGCAUCGAUGAAGAACGCAGCGAAAUGCGAUAAGUAAUGUGAAUUGCAGAAUUCAGUGAAUCAUCGAAUCUUUGAACGCACAUUGCGCCCGCCAGUAUUCUGGCGGGCAUGCCUGUUCGAGCGUCAUUUCAACCCUCAAGCCCUAGGGCUUGGUGUUGGGGAUCGGCGAUAGUCGCCGACCCCCAUAUCUAGUGGCGGCCUCGCUGUAUCCUCCAUUGCGUAACACCUAACACCCCCCAACUGGAUCGCGGCGCGGCCAAGCCGUGAAACCCCCCAACUUCUGAAUGUUGACCUCGGAUCAAGUAGGAAUACCCGCUGAACUUAUGCAUAUCUAUAAGCGGAGGAGCUCAUCUUGCUUUGAAAUUAACAUCUUUCAUGAACAUCUGUUCCUUCCUAUUUAACCUGUCUAUGACAGUUCCAUGCUGACUCUCAACCACUUCCUUCUCUAUCUUAAAUGACCAUGUGCACAUCACCUAUGACAACCCUUUUAAAUACAAUUUAUCCAAUUCUAUCUACAUUUCAAGUGUCCUGCAAAUAUUGGUAUCGUUCCUGACGUCUCUUUUCUGACACCCCAGACAACACUCUCUGCAUUGCUCCUUCUUGUUACUCCAGUAUGACUACUUCCUGCUUCUUUACAUGACUGACUUAAAUGAUACCAACAUAUCCUUGCUGUCCCCUUUCUUCAGAUGU
rnacentral:rRNA from 1 species